GGAGGGGUACCGAAGUGGUCAUAACGGGCCGCUCUCGAAAAGCGGUUGGGCGCAAGCUCACAAGAGUUCGAAUCUCUUCCCCUCCGCCA
rnacentral:tRNA from 1 species